GAACUGAAGAGUUUGAUCCUGGCUCAGAUUGAACGCUAGCGGGAUGCUUUACACAUGCAAGUCGAACGGCAGCGCGGACUUCGGUCUGGCGGCGAGUGGCGGACGGGUGAGUAAUGUAUCGGAACGUACCCAGUAGCGGGGGAUAACUACUCGAAAGAGUAGCUAAUACCGCAUACGCCCUACGGGGGAAAGGGGGGGAUCUUAUGACCUCUCACUAUUGGAGCGGCCGAUAUCGGAUUAGCUAGUUGGUGGGGUAAAGGCCUACCAAGGCGUCGAUCCGUAGCUGGUUUGAGAGGACGACCAGCCACACUGGGACUGAGACACGGCCCAGACUCCUACGGGAGGCAGCAGUGGGGA
rnacentral:ncRNA from 1 species